rnacentral:tRNA from 1 species
GCUGAAGUAGCCAAGUCGGUCACGGCACAUGUCUGAAAAACAUGCGAUCUCGGUUCGAUUCCGAGCUUCAGCA